AUUGAACGCUGGCGGCAGGCCUAACACAUGCAAGUCGAGCGAGCGGCGGACGGGGGAGUAAUGUAUGGGGACUGCCCGAUAUAGGGGGAUAACAACUGGAAACGGUAGCUAAUACCGCAUACUAUCGGAUAACCCAUAUGGGAUUAGCGAGUAGGGAAGGUAAUGGCUCACCUAGGCGACGAUCCCUAGCUGGUCUGAGAGGAUGGUCAGCCAGACUGGUACUGAGACACGGCCCAGACUCCUACGGAGGCAGCAGUGGGGAAUAUUGCACAAUGGGCGCAAGACUGAUGCAGCCAGGCCGCGUGUAUGAAGAAGGACCUAGGGUUGUAAAGUACUUUCAGUCGGGAGGCGUUACCGACAGAAGAAGCACCGGCUAACUCCGUGCCAGCAGACGCGGUAAUAC
rnacentral:rRNA from 1 species